UAUUUCAUUGUACGUUCACCUGAGAGAAGUGAUAGAACUCAUCAAAAGGUACGCUAAGGGCAGAUGAAGUGUAUACAAUAAACUCCCCAUAUAUGUUUCAAAACAUAUUGUGUUUGUAGCUUUAGGCUGCAGAUGAACAAAACUUCAAAUAAUGUGGUUCUUAAAACUGCCAGGAGAAAAAAAGGAACUCAAUAGGAUGACUUAUUUGUUAAGGAACUCAAUAGGAUGACUUAUUUGUUAAGGAACUCAAUAGGAUGACUUAUUUGUUAAGGAACUCAAUAUGAUGACUUAUUUGUUAAGGAACUCAAUAGGAUGACUUAUUUGUUAAGAAACUCAAUAGGAUGACUUAUUUGUUAAGAAACUCAAUAGGAUGACUUAUUUGUUAAGGAACUCAAUAAGAUGACAUUUGUUAAGGAACUCAAUAUGAUGACUUAUUUGUUAAUGAACUCAAUAGGAUGACUUAUUUGUUAAGAAACUCAAUAGGAUGACUUAUUUGUUAAGGAACUCAAUAGGAUGACUUAUUUGUUAAGGAACUCAAUAAGAUGACUUAUUUGUCAACUGAUACAAAGCUUUGUUUAAUCUUUCAUUAAAGCUCUCAAUAUAAUGUUGUUUUAUUCUGAUAAACUAUUGUAUACGUAAGUCAGUGGUUAACAAGCAUGACUCUAUGCAUGAAACGUAGGACGUAAGUCAUCUCUUUUUUUGAAGUAACGUCUGUAUUUUAUAAGAUAAGAUAAAUCAAUGUCUGGUUUGAAGAAACCACGUGGAGAGUUAUUUACAGCUGUGUGUAUAUUUGUGUAUCUCCCCUUUUUAUAACCGACUCGGUCCAAUAUUCUGUAGCUGUGACAUCCUCUAUUUAUUCUUCUUCUUAAACUGAUUCUCUGUUUCAAAUCAUUGGCUUGGGCUUGGUUAAUAGUUUCAACUAAAACUAAACCGUUCGUAUUGUUUUGUCUCUAGACGAUUUCGCAUUUUUAGAACCACCGAUGCAGAACUAGAAUGUACUUCUAUAAACGUGUAAUCAAUCAUUAGUCUAGCCACUGGAGAUCAGAGGUACAAAACAACUGCGUUGACAGGACACGUCUCACGUCGUAAGAUAAUGAGAAGAUUGACGCAUGAACAUUUCAAACUAAGUCUAGGUGUGUGAGAUCAAGCGUCAUUAAAGGGAAACAAAAUUCAUUGUAGCCCCCCACCCCCUCGUUAGCAGUGUCCAGUGCUGAGAUGAUGUGACAGGUCUGCAGCAGUACUGCCCUUUGACAGAAGUCUUGUAAAGUGUUUCAAGUUCAAAACAAAGGAGCUCAAACUCCGAGAUUUGAACUGGAGAUCAACAUUGAAAUGAAGACAUGGAAGCAGUAGAAGAAUACAAACAUUUCCACAGAAAUAGGAAGAAAAACUUGUUGGCACUAUCAACUCAAAAGUCAGAGUGACACGGGCCAGGUAAUACAUUCAAUAAGAAGUGGAACAAAUAGUUUGAAAGUGAAUGACGUCAUGUAGAAAAUCAUAAACAUUACUGUUCUCGCUUAGUGCGGGUGACUUCUUACCCAGAGGAAUGUUCCUUCUUUUUGGUCUGCAUGAUUACAGUAAAGAAUAAAUAGUUAAGUGAUCAUAUGA